rnacentral:rRNA from 1 species
GAUGAACGCUGGCGGCGUGCUUAACACAUGCAAGUCGAACGAAGCACUUUAUUACGAUUUCUUCGGAAUGACGAUUUAGUGACUGAGUGGCGGACGGGUGAGUAACGCGUGGGUAACCUGCCUCAUACAGGGGGAUAACAGUUGGAAACGACUGCUAAUACCGCAUAAGCGCACGGUAUCGCAUGAUACAGUGUGAAAAACUCCGGUGGUAUGAGAUGGACCCGCGUCUGAUUAGCUAGUUGGCGAGGUAACGGCCCACCAAGGCAACGAUCAGUAGCCGACCUGAGAGGGUGAACGGCCACAUUGGGACUGAGACACGGCCCAAACUCCUACGGGAGGCAGCAGUGGGGAAUAUUGCACAAUGGGGGAAACCCUGAUGCAGCGACGCCGCGUGAGUGAUGAAGUAUUCGGUAUGUAAACUUCUAUCAGCAGGGAAG